GUGUGUGUGUGUGUGUGUGUGUGUGUGUGUGUGUGUGUGUGUGUGUGUGUGUAGUGUGUGUGUGGUCUUCCAGCUCUCAGACACAUUGUUCAGCCAGGAAUCAUCUUGCAAGUUUUUGAUGUAAACUCAAGUGUAAAUACAAAACAAUAAAUAAUAUACUGUACUUUUUUCUGGGUAACCAUUUCUUUUUUGACUUAG